GACGAACGCUGGCGGCGUGCUUAACACAUGCAAGUCGAACGGAAAGGCCCUGCUUUUGUGGGGUGCUCGAGUGGCGAACGGGUGAGUAACACGUGAGUAACCUGCCCUUGACUUUGGGAUAACUUCAGGAAACUGGGGCUAAUACCGGAUAGGAGCUCCUGCUGCAUGGUGGGGGUUGGAAAGUUUCGGCGGUUGGGGAUGGACUCGCGGCUUAUCAGCUUGUUGGUGGGGUAGUGGCUUACCAAGGCUUUGUCGGGUAGCCGGCCUGAGAGGGUGACCAGCCACAUUGGGACUGAGGAACGGCCCAGACGCCUACGGGAGGCAGCAGUGGGGAAGAUUGCACAAUGAGGGGAAGCCGGAUGCAGCAACGCCGCGGGCGGGAUGACGGCGGUCGGGUUGUAAACCGCUUUCGCCUGUGACGAAGCGUGAGUGACGGUAAUGGAUAAAGAAGCACCGGCUAACUACGUG
rnacentral:rRNA from 1 species